CGGGCACAGAAGUAGAAUAAAUCUUACUGAAAUGCUAACGCAAGCCCAACCUGUGUUUCACCUAUUCUGGAUUAUGAAACAACAAGAACCUCGGAUUUAUGGCAAGGAACAAGUCUGAAGGACAAGGGCAAAGCAGAGCUUAAUCUCCAGCCAUGGGAGAUAUCUCAAACAGAGAGUAAACUGCAAGAACAGUGAGGGGACUGCAGCUGUUUGUGGGCAUAACGUUUAUCAGGGAUGGAAUGACCCAAAGCCUGGGGAUCCAUGUCUACAACAUACGGCUCUAGCAGGGGGUAAACAGCCAGACCACCGAGGGAACAGCAGCUGUUGUUUCAGCUCUGCUCCGUCGUUCGUCCAGGUGAGUCCAGGUGCUGUGGGAUCAGGAAGCUCCAAACACUGAGGGACCUUCAACUUGGAUCAGGUGAAGGGGACCUCUGCGAGGACUGGACUGUCGGAAGCACUCACCAAGGAAUCUGUUCUCUCCAUUGGGAUGCAUUAGGAAAUUACACAGGUCAUUGACAGACUCUCGGCAUGCGGAGAGAUGACAUAUUUUCCUUCUGGUUCAGGUAACAGCGAGUAACUUAUUUGCAAUAUAAUAUGAGGUUGAAUUGUGCAGAUUUCAAAUGAAGUGUUGCUGAAUAAUAAAUCUAUGAGUGGGAGGAUAUUUUAUAGUUAUAGUUUUAUAGUUCCUGCAACUUUACAGAGAUUUUGAAACUAAAGUCUGCUCUAUGUUAGCAAUCUGUCAACAGGAUACAAAGCUGUUCAGAUCAAUCUGUUCACGGUCAUUAACAAUGAAGAGGAUUUUCUGUCUGAUUGUCCUCUCAGAAUGCCACAUUCUGCCCUCCUGUUUCUGCAAACCCUGAAAUAAAUCAGUGUGCUGCUGUUAUAAAAAGCCUCUUCACACGUGCAGUUGUGUCCUCUCUCCAGACUCUGUUAACAUGGCUGAUGAAAGUGUCAGACCAUCACACAUGUGGCUCAUAUAAAAACAAAACCAAUGGAAACAGUGCUGCGAAGUAAUGGCGGGCUCGUCAGAAGGCGUGCCGAGGACUGUAAUCACACGCUCGAUGCACUCAUGAUUCACUGUCAGGGUGUCAUUACGGUGUUUUCAAAGGGAAGCAGCACAAACAAUGAGUGCUCUUCUGUUUCCUGCCAUAAUGAAGGCGAUUAUUCAUGUGAGGAGCUGCAGGUUUGAAGACGGGUUUGCUAGAGACAGGAUAAGACGAGGUCAACCUCAGGAACUGAAAGUUUUCCGCACAAACAAACAUUUAGAUCACGUUUGUUCUUGUUUUUAAGCCUGAAAAACGAGUAUAAUUGUAGCUUUAAAUAUGUUUACUUCAAACUGUUUUUCUGAGAAUAGAAGAUCAAAUGUGAUGCUAAGAUGAAACAUAUGAGGAACAAAGUAGACAUGCAGUAUAUCAAUGAUUUAAACUUUUAAAAUAUAAUCCAAGGUUGUGUUGAGUAGGGCUGUGUAGUGGCCCAGUUGUUAGCGCUGUUACCCUGAUGCAAUAAGGUCAUGGUUCGAAUCCUGGCCUGGGGUCUAUCUUCAUGGAGUGUGAAGCUUCUGGGAUGACAGCUUCUCUCAGUCUUGGAUCUUUGGCUCUUUCCACUUGGAGGAGUCUGUGGGAAAAUCAAGAAUGCACUGAAGGAGCUUAUGUCAACGUCUAGCCUAGAAACAUCUGGAUAUCACCCAGGACAAGCUGGAGCAUGUCAUCCUUGAUUGUCCUCUCCACAGUUGUUUUCUGUCUGACUUUCUCAGCUCCUCAUGUAGUUGUGGAGCAUGUUUGGCUUGCUUUUCUGUUGAAUCUCAGUUAGGUUUAGGUCUGAACUUUGACUAGGCCAUUGAAGCACCUUGAUCCAUUUUCUCUUUCAGCCAUUUUUUGGAAGAUUUGCCAAAAUGCAUAGAAUCACUGUCUUGCUUAUCACCCAGUUUGGACCAAGCCUCGGCUGUCAGACUGAUGGUCUUGUGCCUGAAGAGGUAGAAAAAAAGGCCAAAUCAUUAACCCUCCAUCACCGUGCUUUACAGUUGGUUUGAGGUGUUUUAGUAAAGUCAACUUGUGUUGUCGACACCCUGCAUUAACACAACUUUCUCUGCUCCUCAUGAAAGACUGCAUGCAGAAAGCAUGCAUUUAGGUCACAGGUUUCUCUAGAAGGAGCUGAGAUCUGCAGACCACAAAAUGGACAAAUAGUAAAAGGCUGGGGGAGCUGAGGCGAGAAUGUGGCAAUAAUGUGAAAUAAAUCACCUUAAAAAGCAUCUGAAAAAAACGGAAACACUUCUACAAUUACAGGUUCGAAUUAGAAUAAAGAUGUAAAAAGAAAAUGUGAAAGGGGUUUUCUGUUAUACCAGCAAUGCUUUUUGUUCUUCACAAACGUUCAGUUUGUUCUUGAUGUGGGAAAAAAUCCCAUAUUUAAACCUCCAGAAUUCAAAGUGAACUCUGUUGUUGUUUUAUAUUUACUUUGGAUCUCUGCUUUGUUCUCAUUUGUUGUUUGGAAACUGAGCACGGCCCUCCUGCUUCCCUCCCUCCGUCAAAUUGAGCCAAACAUCAAUAACCUUCAUCCACAGCUACACGUGGCCCACUCUAAUGUGACUAAUGUGGGAGGGGUUGUGUGAUGGAGGCAGGGGUGGGUGGUCGGGGGCUUCAGAUUCCCGCUGCUGCUGCACUAAAACAAACAAUGAACGUCCUGGAAAGCCAGCUCUUAUUUUUAGGGUCUGACUGGGUUUUACAUAACGGGUCACCACAGCAAGAAUAGCUCCAUCAAUCACUGGGGUAGCAGUGUUCGAAUGCUCUGGCAACGCUGGGAUCAGAAAGCAACUCGCUGAGCCAGAGGGAUCUGAGCGGCUGAGACCACGACUCCGUUUCCAGCUUCCAGAAUGCCUCAGAGGAGACAAGCAUGGAGCCGAGCAAGCUUCAUUUACACACCAAGACGGUUUAAUCUGGCCUCACAUGGACGUUCAGUGGAUCAGGAUUUAUUAUGGAGAAGUAGAUCCAAUCACAGGGACCAAGUUACUAGGAGGCCCCUGUGAAACUGAUUUUUCACAUUUUAUUUUGGGAAGUCAAAUGGUGCAAACAUUUGACCACAAAAUAUAGAAAUAAAUGCACAAACCCAACAUUUUUUUAUUUUAUUUUAUUUUUUAUAUAUUUUUCAGUGCAGUAAAAGUUGUUUCCCUGUAACAUCUCCUUUGUUUCUGAGUUUUUGUCACACUAAAAUAUUUCAGACCAAAAAAGUAAUAAUCUCACUUAAAUAGAACCUGUCUGACAACAUAAAGUAGGUUGAAAGAUCUCAAAAAGCAAUGCAUCGUGCCUUAAUCUAAAUAUAUUCAAUAUAUUUAGAGGGGCUGCGUGGCUGUAUCAGGACCUGGACGACUUACUGUAAUUGAUGGAACCAUGAAAGCUGCUCUCAAACAGAAAAUCAGUUAAGAUGCUGUGGCAUCAUUAAUGCUUGAAAACCCACCAUGUGUCUGAACUAAAACAAUUCUGCAAAGAAGAGUGGGUCAAACUUCCUCCAAAUACACCAGAUGUGCAGGUUUUAGAUGUGUUCCUUAUCCAACGCACCUGAUUCAAAUGGUGAUUCACCUACUGAUCAGAGGCUUGGUGAAGCCCAUUUGUUUCAUGGGUGCUGAACCAGGAAAACAUCUAAAACAUGCAGGCCCUUGAGGACUGACUUCAGACACCACUGGCCUAAAGGAUUCUGCAGAAUUUACAAACUGCAGUAUUGCUAAAAGUUUUUAGCUUGCUCAGCCAUGAACAAAACUCACUGGGUUUUCCGACCAGGAGCUGGAACAGGAUUGGUUUGAGAGUCAGUGUGGCAUCUUGCAGUUCCUAUAAAUGUAUAUCAGUUGUUAAUCAAGAACACCAAACCAAUAUGUCCUUAACCAUAAAGAGGAAUUGAAGUAAAUAACUGACAGAUUAAAUUAGGUGCAGGAGCGUCCUUUGAACCUUUGAAGGGUGGGAUUUCUUAUCGUUGAGUGUCCUUGUUCAACUUGGUUCA